UUAGAGCUCGGUCCCAAUUAUUAAAUAUUAUGAAUUAGCAACAAGUUUUGGCAUUGAGUGUUUGUACAUGGUGCAUAACAUGUGUUUUGUGCAACUCUUUGAGGUACAUCUGGUUUAGUGGGUUGUAAGUUGUUUCUAGGUUUUGACACGUAUGUUUUCUUGAUACGUGUUAAGCCAAAAGCAAUCCUCCCACCGCCAAAACACCACCACAGCAACAAAACCCCUGAGAUCUGUAAUCUGGAGAUUCUAGAAAGUGGAAGAGUAACAUGCAAGAGUGAGAGAGGGGUUGGGCCAAGAGAGGGGCGGUGGUGUGGUUUUAGACGGUACACCUCUCAGAUGAAGGUGUAAUGUCAGUGAUGCUGGUGGGUCUGGUUUCAGUAACAAGAUAGAGGCGGUGCGAGGUAGGUUUGUGACGGGUCUUCGUUUAACUCCGUACAAAAUUCAGGUGAAGCUCCGGCGAGUUCUCCGUUGACCAAUCUGGUUCUACAUGUCAAUAAAUAAUCUUAUUGAUAGGUGGUUCUCCACUACAUUCAGUUUCCGAACCACCAAACAAUUUAGAACCCAAAUAUGCAAACCCCUUUCAUUUCACAUAUGAAAAGUUACAUUAGUCAUCAACAGAAAUACUAAAACCUUAAUUCUCCAUCACGUUGAUUUGUUGUUGAUCAUUGUUGUUUCAGGUGAUGAAAAUAGGUUCUUGGACCAUGACAAAAUUAAUGUUGAUUACAUGGGGCAAAUUUUGAGUUCAUACCAUUUGGUUCUGGUCGAAGAAUGUGUCCAGCUAUACCCCUCGCCUCACCGGUGCUUCCACUCGCUUUAGGUUAUUUUGACUAACCCAGAUGAUAUGUAGAGAGAGAGGAGAAAGAUACUAACCCAUAAACAUUUGUAGUUGGAAAAGAGAUGCCAUGGUGGAUGGCACAAUGAGGGAAGGUUGUAGCCGAAGGGAAAGCUGUUGUUCCCAUUCCACCACCAGCUUAAGAUGGCUAGCGGUAUCGACAUAACCGAAUUGUUUUUUUAAUUUAUAACAAAUGUAGUUAUUUUUUGUGAAGCCGGCGGUUUGAGUUUAUUGCGCAUGUAUAUUGCCUAAUUUGGCAGGAAACAUAGCAUCGGUAAAUCAUUUAGUAGAGUUUAGGGGAAUUCUGUGUGGUGUACGUUCCGAAUUAAGAUUAGUUGAAGGCAUUGUUGGUUAUGUGGAUAUAUGAUCCAAUAUUUUAAGUGUUUAGACUAUGGUAUUCAAUGUAAUUAUUAUUUAUUACAACCUUAAA